UACGGAGGGUGCGAGCGUUGUCCGGAAUCACUGGGCGUAAAGGGCGCGUAGGCGGCCUGAUAAGUAGGGGGUGAAAUCCUGCGGCUUAACCGCAGGGCUGCCUUCUAAACUGUCAGGCUGGAGCACAGUAGAGGCAGGUGGAAUUCCCGGUGUAGCGGUGGAAUGCGUAGAGAUCGGGAAGAACAUCAGUGGCGAAGGCGGCCUGCUGGGCUGUUGCUGACGCUGAGGCGCGGCAGCGUGGGGAGCAAACAGG
rnacentral:rRNA from 1 species